rnacentral:rRNA from 1 species
GAUGAACGCUGGCGGCAUGCCUUACACAUGCAAGUCGAACGGCAGCGGACCUUCGGGUGCCGGCGAGUGGCGAACGGGUGAGUAAUAUAUCGGAACGUACCUUUCAGUGGGGGAUAACGUAGCGAAAGUUACGCUAAUACCGCAUAUUCUGUGAGCAGGAAAGCAGGGGAUCGCAAGACCUUGCGCUGAUUGAGCGGCCGAUAUCAGAUUAGCUAGUUGGUGAGGUAAAGGCUCACCAAGGCGACGAUCUGUAGCGGGUCUGAGGGGAUGAUCCGCCACACUGGAACUGAGACACGGUCCAGACUCCUACGGGAGGCAGCAGUGGGGAAUUUUGGACAAUGGGCGCAAGCCUGAUCCAGCCAUGCCGCGUGAGUGAAGAAGGCCUCGG